rnacentral:rRNA from 1 species
ACGUACACUCCUGCGGGAGGCAGCAGUGGGGAAUUUUGGACAAUGGGCGAAAGCCUGAUCCAGCCAUGCCGCGUGCAGGAUGAAGGCCUUCGGGUUGUAAACUGCUUUUGUACGGGACGAAACGGCCUUUUCUAAUAAAGAGGGCUAAUGACGGUACCGUAAGAAUAAGCACCGGCUAACUACGUGCCAGCAGCCGCGGUAAUACGUAGGGUGCAAGCGUUAAUCGGAAUUACUGGGCGUAAAGCGUGCGCAGGCGGUUAUGUAAGACAGUUGUGAAAUCCCCGGGCUCAACCUGGGAACUGCAUCUGUGACUGCAUAGCUAGAGUACGGUAGAGGGGGAUGGAAUUCCGCGUGUAGCAGUGAAAUGCGUAGAUAUGCGGAGGAACACCGAUGGCGAAGGCAAUCCCCUGGACCUGUACUGACGCUCAUGCACGAAAGCGUGGGGAGCAAACAGGAUUAGAAACCCCGGUAGUCCCAUG